AUGGAGGGGAAGGCGCGUAGGAUGCUGGGGUGAUGAGUGUCCCGCGCUGAGGGGUAUCAGAGGUGGUCAGUUCUUUGAGGGUGGGAAGAAGAGGGAGGUGGGACCCGCUGGAACGACCGGAAGGGAGAAGAGAGUAAAAGAUCGUGAGAGGGUGUGGAAACGUGUGUAGGAAAACGGGGCUGGGGAAAUUGCAGUCUGGGAAACUAGAGGCAGGGUGGCAGGAGAUGCCACAGCUUGCAGGGCACAGUUGAGGAGAGCAGGUUGCUGAUCGUCGUGUGUUGCCACCCAUUCAUGUCAAGAUGACUAAGUUUGGAUUUUUGCGAUUGUCCUAUGAGAAGCAGGACACACUUUUGAAGCUUCUCAUUCUGUCAAUGGCUGCUGUAUUAUCCUUCUCCACUCGUCUGUUUGCUGUCCUGAGAUUUGAAAGUGUUAUCCAUGAGUUUGAUCCGUACUUUAAUUAUCGGACUACCAGGUUCCUGGCUGAGGAGGGGUUUUAUAAAUUCCAUAACUGGUUUGAUGACCGAGCCUGGUACCCUUUGGGACGAAUCAUUGGAGGAACAAUUUACCCAGGUUUAAUGAUCACCUCUGCUGCAAUCUACCAUGUACU
rnacentral:lncRNA from 1 species